UACGUAGGAGGCGAGCGUUGUCCGGAGUUACUGGGCGUAAAGGGUGCGCAGGCGGCGGUUCGCGUGGAUAGAUGAAAUCUCCUGGCUUACCUGGGAGGAUGGUAUCCAGACGGGAUCGCUUGAGGGUCGGAGAGGGGCGUGGAAUUCCGGGUGGAGCGGUGAAAUGCGUAGAUAUCGCUUGGAACGCCAAAGGUGAAAACAGGUUGCUGGGGUUGUGCCGACGCUGAGACACGAAAGCCAGGGGAGCAAACGGG
rnacentral:rRNA from 1 species